rnacentral:rRNA from 1 species
UUACGAGAAAUCAAAGUUUUUGGGUUNUGGGGGGAUUAUGGUCGCAAGGCUGAAACUUAAAGAAAUUGACGGAAGGUCACCACCAGGCGUGGAGCCUGCGGCUUAAUUGACUCAACACGGGGAAACUCACCAGGUCCAGAUGAAAUAAGGAUUGACAGAUUGAGAGCUCUUUCUUGAUUUUUCAGGUGGUGGUGCAUGGCCGUUCUUAGUUCGUGGGGUGACUUGUCUGCUUAAUUGCGAUAACGAGCGAGACCUUACUCUGCUAAAUAGCCAGGCUAGCUUUGGCUGGUCGCCGGCUUCUUAGAGAGACUAUCAACUCAAGUUGAUGGAAGUUUGAGGCAAUAACAGGUCUGUGAUGCCCUUAGAUAUUCUGGGCCGCACGCGCGCUACACUGACAGAGCCAACGAGUUCUUCACCUUGGCCGAAAGGUCUGGGUAAUCUUGUUAAACUCUGUCGUGCUGGGGAUAAAGCAUUGCAAUUAUUGCUUUUCAACGAGGAAUGCCUAGUAAGCGCGUGUCAUCAGCAUGCGUUGAUUACGUCCCUGACCUUUGUACACACCGCCCGUCGCUACUACCGAUUGAAUGGCUAAGCC